GUAAAACGUGUGCAGGAACUCUCCUGGAGUUGUCUAACGCACAUGCAUAUCCUUUGUUUGAGCGUAGUCAACAGUACCACCAGACCAGUAUUUCGUCUUCAUGCAGUGCAAACAUACCCCUUGCGAUGCCACACCAAUCCGGCCCAACCGACCACCCAGCGUCGCACGUGCAUUGGCUUCACAUUAUCAAAGAAUGCCAUUGCAGCUGCGAGUGAAACAAUGACCGCCGAUCAAGACAAUGAAUGAGUGUGGGCACAAAAAAUCCUUGACAGUGCGAACUUUCUUCGGAUCGGGACGAACACCGGAAGAGUCGAUGAGGUGUCCAAUCACAGAUCCAUGUCAUCAACUGCAACAUCCGAAUACCCAGAAAGAAAGUCCAUCGAAGAAAAUACUUGGAACCAAUGAGACAGUCAAGGGCGUCAUCUACCCGAGGCACCAGGACCACCACUGACAGCGAGUGUAGCACGAUGGAGAAGAUGGUCAUGGAGCGAUGAUACUGCAGCAAGAAGCUAAUGGCACGCCAAACGCGCAUGAUGCAAGCGUCAUGUGCCAGACCCGACAUCGAAGCGACCGAGACCGGCUGGGAAUGAUACAGCGUGUCCGGCUGUCUCCACGGAGUUUCCACUUUCACGCCAAGAUGCUCGACGUCCAACCGCCCGCUAAACAAAACACCUACCAGGAUAUAUCAGUAAUAAUUCUCUUGCCGAGUGGACGACAUGGGCCUGGAUAUGUGUAAAUGGGUAUGAGCCACGGGGCAUGUUCCAUUCAUGGCGAAUUCCUCAUGAAUGUGUGCAUUGGACACACGAAAUGUUCGAUAAGGACACACAUGGUGCUUGAACGGGGCCGGAAUGCCGCAGCAACCCCGUCUUAAGACAUGCGACAUCAUUGUCAUGUGCCGCGCAUUGCGAUGCGCACUAGUUCUCGGCGCCAGUAUAUGAACCACU